rnacentral:rRNA from 1 species
GGACUACACGGGUAUCUAAUCCCGUUUGCUCCCCUGGCUUUCGCGCCUCAGCGUCAAUGCCGGUCCAGGAUGCCGCCUUCGCCACCGGUGUUCCUCCAGAUAUCUACGCAUUUCACCGCUACACCUGGAAUUCCGCAUCCCUCUCCCGGAUUCAAGCCCACCAGUAUCGGACGCAGUUCCCGGGUUGAGCCCGGGGAUUUCACGUUCGACUUAGCGGGCCGCCUACGCGCCCUUUACGCCCAGUAAUUCCGAACAACGCUUGCCCCCUCUGUAUUACCGCGGCUGCUGGCAC